GCCUACGGCCAUACCAGUCUGAAAAUGCCUGAUCUCGUCAGAUCUCAGAAGUCAUGCAGACUUGGGCCUACUUAUGACUUGUAUGGGAGACCAACUAGGAACCUCAGGUGCCGUAAGCU
rnacentral:rRNA from 1 species